GACAGAGGGGGCAAGCGUUGCUCGGAAUUACUGGGCGUAAAGGGCGCGUAGGCGGGAUGGCAAGUCGGUCGUGAAAUCCUUCGGCUCAACCGAAGAACGUCGAUCGAUACUGCUGUUCUUGAGGGUUGCAGAGGAGACUGGAAUUCCCGGUGUAGCGGUGAAAUGUGUAGAGAUCGGGAGGAACACCGGUGGCGAAGGCGGGUCUCUGGACAGUUACUGACGCUGAGGCACGAAGGCCAGGGGAGCAAACGGG
rnacentral:rRNA from 1 species